rnacentral:rRNA from 1 species
UACGUAGGGUGCGAGCGUUGUCCGGAAUUAUUGGGCGUAAAGAGCUCGUAGGCGGUCUGUCACGUCGGCUGUGAAAACCCGAGGCUCAACCUCGGGCCUGCAGUCGAUACGGGCAAACUAGAGUACUGCAGGGGAGACUGGAAUUCCUGGUGUAGCGGUGAAAUGCGCAGAUAUCAGGAGGAACACCGGUGGCGAAGGCGGGUCUCUGGGCCGAUACUGACGCUGAGGAGCGAAAGCGUGGGGAGCGAACAGG